rnacentral:rRNA from 1 species
GACGAACGCUGGCGGCGUGCUUAACACAUGCAAGUCGAACGAUGACGACCGAGCUUGCUCGGUCUGAUUAGUGGCGAACGGGUGAGUAACACGUGAGCAACCUGCCCUUCACUCUGGGAUAACCUCGGGAAAUCGGGGCUAAUACCGGAUAUGAGCUCCUGUCGCAUGGCGGGUGUUGGAAAGUUUUUCGGUGAGGGAUGGGCUCGCGGCCUAUCAGUUUGUUGGUGGGGUAGUGGCUCACCAAGGCGAUGACGGGUAGCCGGCCUGAGAGGGCGACCGGCCACACUGGGACUGAGACACGGCCCAGACUCCUACGGGAGGCAGCAGUGGGGAAUAUUGCACAAUGGGCGAAAGCCUGAUGCAGCGACGCCGCGUGAGGGAUGACGGCCUUCGGGUUGUAAACCUCUUUCAGCAGGGAAGAAGCGAAAGUGACGGUACCUGCAGAAGAAGCGCCGGCUAACUACGUG